UGACUCAACGCGGGAAAUCUUACCGGGUCCGGACACACUGAGGAUUGACAGAUAUAUACCCCGUGAUUUUAUCGCGGGGUUGAAAGAUGCUAGUUCUUUCAUGAUUAUGUGAUAGGUGGUGCAUGGCCGUUCUUAGUUCGUGGAGUGAUCUGUCUGCUUAAUUGCGUAUCAAUAAUAGAGACCUAGUAUACGCGUAGACUCAUGCGGUAGUGACCCCCCUUCACAGGGCGCGUGUCGCACGUAUGUUAUACGCACAGGUCUCCGAUAGCAACGAACGUGACCGUACUCUAUUGUUGCAGCGACAAUACCUUUCAACGGGUAUUACCGCUGCUUAGCAAGAUUCGUCUUGCAUUAAACUAUAGAGACCGCUGUUUCUUCUUUAAACCAGAGGAAGGAUACGGCAAUAACAGGUCUGU
rnacentral:rRNA from 1 species